UAAGGAAUAUUGCGCAAUGGGCGACAGCCUGACGCAGCGACGCCGCGUGGGGAUGAAGGUCUUCGGAUUGUAAACCCUUCGUCAGGGAAGGAUGGAGCGGGCAAGCCGCAUCGGACGGUACCGUGCAGAACGCAGCACGGCUAACGUUCAUGUGCCAGCAGCCGCGGUAAUACGAAGGUGGCAAGCGUUGUUCGGAUUUACUGGGCGUACAGGGAGCGUAGGCGGUUGGGUAAGCCCUUCGUGAAAUCUCCGGGCCUAACCGGAAAGUGCGGAGGGGACUGCUCGGCUAGAGGAUGGGAGAGGAGCGCGGAAUUCCCGGUGUAGCGGUGAAAUGCGUAGAGAUCGGGAGGAAGGCCGGUGGCGAAGGCGGCGCUCUGGAACAUUUCUGACGCUGAGGCUCGAAAGCGUGGGGAGCAAACA
rnacentral:rRNA from 1 species